ensembl:snRNA U6 U6 spliceosomal RNA
GUGCUCAUUUUGGCAGCACAUAUACUAAAGAUGCAAUGAUACAGAGAAGAUUGGCGUGGCCCCUAGGCAAGGAUGACAUGCGAAGUGGUGAAGUGUUCCUUAUUUAU